rnacentral:rRNA from 1 species
CCUACGGGGAGCAGCAGUGAGGAAUAUUGGUCAAUGGCCGGAAGGCUGAACCAGCCAUGCCGCGUGAAGGGCAGGGACCUAUGGGCGUUAAACUUCUUUUGUGCGGGAGCAAUAAUGGUCACGUGUGGCCAGACGAGAGUACCGUACGAAUAAGCAUCGGCUAACUCCGUGCCAGCAGCCGCGGUAAUACGGGGGAUGCAAGCGUUAUCCGGAUUUAUUGGGUUUAAAGGGUGCGUAGGCUGUGAGGUAAGUCAGCGGUGAAAUGCCCCCGCUCAACGGGGUGAAGUGCCAUUGAUACUGCCUUGCUGGAAUGCGGAUGCCGUGGGAGGAAUGUGUGGUGUAGCGGUGAAAUGCAUAGAUAUCACACAGAACACCGAUUGCGAAGGCAUCUCACGAAUCCGCGAUUGACGCUGAGGAGCGAAAGCGUGGGUAGCAAACAGGAUUAGAUACCCCUGUAGUC